GCGAAUGUAGCUCAGCUGGUUAGAGCGUCGGUUUGUGGUACCGAAGGUCGUGGGUUCGAGCCCCAUCAUUCGCCCCA
rnacentral:tRNA from 2 species